rnacentral:rRNA from 1 species
UACGUAGGGUGCAGGCGUUAAUCGGAAUUACUGGGCGUAAAGCGUGCGCAGGCGGUUUCUUAAGACAGGUGUGAAAUCCCCGGGCUUAACCUGGGAACUGCGCUUGUAACUGAGAGGCUAGAAUGUGGUAGAGGGUGGCGGAAUUCCCGGUGUAGCAGUGAAAUGCGUAGAUAUCGGGAGGAACAUCCGUGGCGAAGGCGGCCACCUGGACCAACAUUGACGCUGAGGCACGAAAGCGUGGGGAGCAAACAGG